CUUCCUGAGGAGGAGGAGGAGAAAAAUGGUUGAUUUCUCAUGGGGUAACACGGUACCACUCAGUUCAGCCACAGCAAAGGAUUGCAAAGGGCUCUAACACCCCAGCCCCUUCCUCUCAGUGCUUUUGCAAGCAGAGCUCUGAUACUGUCUCCCCCAGCGUUUGGGAUCAACGGGACCUGUGUCCUGUCAGCAAAGCAGCAAGGACGUGGCAGAGCACACAGGAUUUGGGUCAAGACCUCCGAGGGGCUGGAGACAGGGAUUGACUGACAGAGAGGGAGGAAGGAGAGGCUCAGCGCGGAGGGUUGGGGCCUUUUCUCUGGAAUAACCUCAGCGGCUCAGCCGUGGUUUGCCGGAGGGCAAAGGCAGCGUGUUCCCUCCUCAGUGCCCCCAUCGAGCAGAGGCAGGUCACGGCUGUGCCGUGCCCUCUGCUCCCGCAGCGAUGGCAGCACAGAUAAGGCCCUUGUCCCGCUUAUCGCCCCAUCAGCGGCUCUGCCGCGGCCCCGCUGCCCCAGCGCCGAGCGCCGAGCCCUGAUCUCAUCAGCGCGCCGCACACUUGCAGCUCGAACAAUACCCAACACAAUUCCCAGAAAUGCACAGCCUCCUGCUAAAGCCUCCCCGGGGGAAAGCAUGCCAGCCGGCCUGUCGGCACCGGCGCAGCCAUCGCUGCCAGCCGCUGGCAAACGCGGCCCGCAGGCCCCUCUGCGAACACGGGGCUGGGCUGGGCGGGGCGGAGGGAGAGGCCCGGCUCCAGUCCCUGGGGCCACCCAUGAGCUGCCUGUCCUCAGCAAGUCCCUCUCCCUCUUGCUGUUUGUGACCAGGUGUCUUGCCCUGUCCCAGCCACCCUAUGCAGCCCCUGCCAGCUCUGAAUGCCCACUCAGUUCGCAAAGGGGAUGAGAUGCAAAACUAGGCCCCAGCUUAGGGAGGGAGGAUACAAGCAGGGCCAUGGACACUCCUCAUCUCAGUGGGGACCUGCAGUCUGGAGAGGCUUUUCCACAUCUCACAGCUUCCCUAUGUGUCUCGGUCUGACAGAGCCUUUCCUGUCACAUUUGAGUAAUUGCUGUUUCCAUUUCCCAAUGGAAUAUCUGGACACUGAAGCAGGCAUGGCUGGAUGCUCAAAGCAGGUAUGUGCCUUGUCUGAGCUGAGCUGGAAGUGGGAGAGGGCCAGCAAGUGGCAUGGCCAUCCUUUCUCCAAGCACUUCUGAAGCCCACCAGCCUGUCUUCUCCUCACACAAGGCCAGAUGUACCAGGGAAGCAGCACAGUACAGCAGCAGAGCUGUCACAGUGAUGCAGCAGGCACACCAAAUCCCCCUGCAAAGGAUGCAACGCCAGCACCAUUCCACAUGAGCGAAGAGCAGCACCUGGGAUGGCACAAUGGCAUUCCCAGUGCAGGAGGAUGAGCCUUGCAGUACCCCAAGUGAAGGAGGACCUGCCUCCCAGUGUCCCUGACACGAGGUGCAUUGUUCAUGAAAACACACGGGGAAGUCCAAGGAGGACAGACUCGCUGGCUGCGUUGGGCUUCCUGCCUCCUGGCCCCGGCCGCCGCCUGACAUCAUCGCUCCUGGUGGGAAUGGCCACCCUGGCCCCACUCGGUCCCUGACAUUAGCCAACAACUUCCUGACCUCCUGUCCGGCUUUUCAGCCUCCCACGGCCCCCCAGGACGGGGAGGCUUUUGUGCCUGAGAUGGUAGAAAGAUGAUAGAUAGAUCAGAUAGAUAGAUUAGAUAGAUAGAUAGAUAGAUAGAUAGAUAGAUAGAUAGAUAGAUAGAUGGAUAGAUAGAUAGAUAGAUAGAUAGAUAGAUAGAUAGAUAGAUAGAUAGAAAGAUGCUUGACUCCUGCCAUCAUGGCCCAACAACUGGCAAACCUGCAUCUUCUUCCUCACUACCAUGGGCACAAUAGACACGAUGCUGCCCAUCACCUCACCGUCAUCUGAGGGUAUGGGAUGGCAUGGGAGUGUGUGUUCUCCAAAAAUACCCCAUUCAGAUUGACAGGGGCCAGGAAGGCUGAGGAGAAGGAAUGUGGGGGCAAGCAACACAGGUGUUGGAAGGAUGCCUGUGAAACACACAGGUGGCUUCUGUGCACCAGCCCUGUGGAGGCACCCACCUUCUCCCCAUCAUCCUCAAAUCUGCCCAGGUGACAGCAGUGUCUGGAUGCAGUGUGUGCCACAUCACCCAUCCACCCUGCAAACACUGGCUUUUCCAAAUAAACUGAUUUUUUAGUGAAAAUGCAGAGGAUUGUGUAAGCCUCGGGCUGUUGCUGUGAGUUUUUCUCUGAGCAACUCCUCAUGAGCAGAGCACAACCUUGGGCUGACGUGCUGCAAACCUGCCCUUGUCCAAACCCGCUGCCAUCAGCACUUUGCUGCAGCUGCUUCCAGUGCUGCUCUAAGAGUUUUUCCUUGCAGCCUAAACCCCCACCUCUGGCUCCAUCUUUCUGGCUCCAGCCCACUGGGGAUGGAAGAUUUCUCCUUCCCGAAUACAAAUAUAACUGUAAUCUGCUAAACCCUGCUGUUGAUCCUGACUGCAUCCUCCUGUCCUGAGCUUUCCUACAGUGCCUUUUAUACCGGUAAUAGCACCAGGCUCCUUCUCCCAUCAUUGUUGACUCGACAAUGAAAACUGUUUGUAUUAUUGUGUCCCCGAAGCUUUGCCAAUAGCACAUGUGUCCCGAGCUGAUAGCAACAGGCUUUGGCAAGGCUGCAGCUCCAUCAGAUAAGAGCCUUUAACCUUAUUUCUCCAGCUCGAGCGUUCCACGAAGGGCCAUUCUGUCGUGAGCCUUUCCUUAUCCUUCCCCUGAGCUUGCAGAUCCACGGGCUCCAUGGGCCAAGGAGAGGGGUCGCUGGCAAAGGGCAGAGGUGGAGGUGUUCAGGGCAAGCAGCCUGGGAAACAGCCUCAGCUUGGGUGAGAGAAGAGCCCAGAGGGGAGAUGGAAAGAGAGAGCUGCUUUCCCAGGCAAUUUAAGGGCCAAAUGCACGGCCGUCCCUUGUCCCCUGCCUUCCUCAGGGACCCGCUCCACCCCGCCGUGCUGCACCUUGGCUCGGCUCCCGCGCACAGCAGGAGCGAAGUGGAGGAGAAACGCUGGAGCCCGGAGGCCCCGCACGCUCCCGGCUGGCCCACGAACAAAGCUUUCCCUUGGAGCCCUUCCCUGCCGCCUCCCUCCUGCACUCCCCCAGCCACGGGGAUCCCCGGCAUCGGCACAGCCCUGGGGGUCCGCAGCACCCUCCUCGUCCCACCCUGCAUCCCUGUGCCAAACCCCUCCGUGACUGCUCCCCGCAUCCCCGAGCUCCAGCUCUGCUGCUGGGGGAUUUUCCAGGCUGCAGCACAAAGGAUGCUGUGAAAUCAGAAAGCAAAGAAAAUGAUGCUGCCUGUGGCAAGCUUUAAAAUCUCAUUUUUAGGCCAAUUUAUGGGAGGGAUGUCACAGUUCUUGGGGUUUUGAGCUGCAAAUGGAGUACGUCCCCUUUCCCUUCCCCUUAAUGUCCCCAGUGCAGCAGCUAAAAGCAAAAGUUGUUCCUCUGCUGGCAAGGAGGGAAUGCUCUUAGGUCCUUCUCUUUAUUCUUAGUGUUCUUAUUGUAAUAAUAAUUAUUAUUGUUGUUGUUGUUGUUGUAAUUAUUAUUAUAAUUCUCUCUGAGGAUAGAAGCACUCUGUCAGAGAUACAUCUUGCCCUUUGCUGGGGAGACUGUUGUCUCUGAAGGGGCUGAGGAGAAGCUGGGUCACCCCAUGCUCUGUACAGGCCUUCUGUGACUGGAGAAACUGAGGCAUGGAGCCACAGCAGUAUCUACCCCACUCUGAGCCGAAAUUCCUCUCUUCCACAUGUGUUUCCCUGUCUGUGUGAGCACCCAAAAGGAGGUCAGGCAUCCCGAGGCAGCCAGCCUGGGCAUGCAGAGGGAGCAGGAUCCCAGUUCUUGGCUGCAUCUCCUGCACAGACACCAGCAAGCAGCGUUUUCUGCCAACUGAAGCGAUGGAAGCAGCGAAUAACCCCGGCAUGCCCAGGCUCUGCACAGCCCAACUGUCGGCCAGCUGCCUGUUCCUGGGAGGACACAGUGCCACAGGCAGGGAGCAUUUUCUUGCUAUAAUCAAGAAAAGAAAUUGUGCGGAUCAGAGCAGCUGAAUGGCAGCCAAAUCUGCUUCUCGGCGGCUUUUCUACACUCUGUAUUCAUGUAUUUGGCAUGACUAGCUCUGCAUUGAGGUAAUUCAUUAAUGCUCAACCAAAAAUGUGUUUAUGGAAGUCUUGAAAUAGUUGGUAGAAGUGUAAGACUUUCCUUCCUAAAAGCCUGGGCUCUCUCUGUGAUGGGAACUGGGUAUUAAAGCAACGAGUGCUGCUACAAUCAGCUGCCAGGGAAGCGACUGCAGGCAGCGUGUGCCCUGUGCAUUCUGGCUUGCUCUGAUCUCCUUGUGCUAAAGCCUUUCCCAGGAUUUAGUGUCCAUAAGCACCACGGGUGGGAUUUGCAUCAGUUCUGCUCAUGCCUGGGGUGUGGGGACCUCACCCCAGGUUUCACAGAGAGCAGCUUAGGGAGCAAACAGGAUGAUGUGCCUGGAAGUGCAGCACUCCGAGCUGAUGGUAGGACCAGAGAGUUGGCUGGACCAGAAGGGACUGUAGCAGAGCAAAAGCAGGGGAAGGGGAGGUAGGACAGCCCUGGGGAGACCCAAGGUCUCUGGCCAUCACCCAGGAGGUGAAGUGGGUGCACCCAUGCAGAGCAAACAGCUUUUUUAGGGUAGCUGUGGGUUUCGCUGCUCGCACAAUGGAUAUCGCUGUUGUCGUUCCAGUUAUAAUCCUGUAUAAAUAAGGCUGACCUCUGGUUAUUGAAAAGAGCUGAAAAUAAAGACAACUUUCUCUGCUUCCUCA